GUCCCUCACUGGGCUCUAGGCAAAAGUUCUGCCUGGAUUAUGUGAAGUGUGGCAGAUGCACCAAGCCAGAGUCCUGGGGUCCUGGAACAGUAAGCCUUCUAGCAGAGAAUUCAGGGGCGGAUAAAGGGAGGUUCCUGCUACCUCAGAGGGCCAGGGUAUGAGAAGAGGUCAUUUCUGCGCGGCAGCCUGGCUCAUUGUUUUAUUCCAGGGGGCUUUGCUUGCCUCUCACAUUCAAGCAAAGCACAGAUCCCAAAAGAGGGAAGGGAAAGGGAGAAGAGAGGGGAGGGGAGAGGAAGGCAAAGGAGAGGACUGGAGAGGAGAGGGAUUAAAAGAUAAAAUAUGGCCUUGUUUACCCAUCCCAGUAUUAAACUCCCACCCUUCUGGGGGAUUCCAUGAAUGAAAACACAACACCUGCUGGGCUAGUGGCUGUGAAAGAGGAGAAGGGGUGAUGGAAAUGCAGCACAUAGGGAGCAGAUCUAUUCUUAGUCCCACGAACUUCCUCCGGGCCCCCAAAGGCCUUGCCCCAUUCUGAUGUCUGCUUCCUUGAUUUCAAUGUUUUUUCUCUUCCAGACCAUCCUCCCAGCUGCCAUGCUCAAGCUUUUGAAAUGCAUAAUUUGUUUUAAUUACAAAAUAAAAUAAUUUCUACCUCCCCUAGAGGGUUCUCCCUGGCCCUAAAUUUCCUAUCAAUUCCUUCUCCCUCUGCAUCCACAUCAUAGUCAUCAAACCCUUCUUUAAACUUAUCUCAUUCUGUCUUUAGAGUUCCUGAACAUUUUCCACACUGGGCUGCGGGCUCCUUGAGGGCAGGGACUCCGUGAACACAUUUUCCUUCCCAACAGACCUUAGUUCAGUAGCUUGGCACACCAAGGCUGCCCAGUCAACAUUGGACUGACUGAAUGUGUUUGCCAAAUGAAUCUGGCUAUUUGCCGGCUCUGCAACUUUCAACUCCUUGUCCAACACCCUCUAUCAAAACAGGUGGGUGUAUUUUGAAGUAGAAAUUGGAGACAUUAAAAUAAGCAGAUUUUUUAAAAAAUACAUCACUCUUUUUUUGUCAUUUAAGCAUUACCCUCAAUUGAGGAAAAAAAGAGUACUUUCCCUGUUAAAGCUUGUUUUGUCUCCCAGCAUCAUAAAGCUAGAGGGGAAGUCUUGUUACUGAUACAGGUGCUCCCAGGCUCACCAAAUCCAAGGCCAGCCUGCCCCUCCUACAGUUUGGAGUGACUGGAGGCUGCAGCGAGGAAGGGUCCUGGCCUCUCCCGCCAAUCCCAGGGCUCUCUGGAGAGGGUGCUGCCCACGAUAAAAGGUCACAUCCUGUCAUGAUCAAGACAUUAAUGGAUAUGACAAAGAUCCCAGAUGAAAAGCAACUUCUGAACCACACCACUGGCAUCCUGAUUAAAGCAAACAUAAGCAAGCCGAACCCAGCAAGACAUCUGGAACCAUCCCUAAGAGUGACCAUCCACUAGACAGGACCCAACCCUGCCAUGAGUGGAAUCAACUUCCUGUCUCAUGAGACUGCAGAUUUCAAAUCCUGUGCCUCUCCAUGGCUUCCUGAGCUCCUAACCACACUCUGACAGGCAUGGCAUCUAUGCAAAAAGGGAAAUGAGUGAGGCCAGUUGAAGAAUUAUAUAAUCCUCCAUUUUAAAAAUAGGACUGGGUAUUUUUGGAAAGAACUAGCUGGGUGAGUUAUUUAACAGCCUUUCUGGCUAGCCUGUGGAAACUCAGAAAAUGGCAUUCUCUCAGGGUCUCUAGAAAGAUGUGUUACCUGGUACAGCCAAAGAAGACUGAAGAUGCCCAGGCUGGGCUGAACCUGGGACAAUGCAGAGAUAACCUGGUCCUUUGUAAGCUGUGGACUGGCCCUGUAAUGCACGCUGGGAAGAGAGGAGUUUGGAAGCCACUCCCCAGGAUGGAUCUCUGUAGGCAAAUCCUUUCAACAGCUACUGUGAAGCCCUCUGAGCGAUGCGAUUGAUUAAGGUUGACAAAAGCCUGGCAAUGGCUUCCACUCCCCACUUCUUGUUCCCAUGUUAGACAUUAUUAAUCAAUUACAACUCUUUCUCUACAAGCCCCAGAACCAAUCCUUUACACAAAUCUCCCAGAAGCCACCAACAAUCAGUGGGAGUUGGCACGAGGUGAGACUUCUCCAGUCUGUCUGCAGUAGCUAGUAAGUGGUGCACUGGCUUCAGUUUGGACCACUGCUACAUCGUGGAGUUGACCUGUUGAAAUUGAUGAGCUAUUCUGACAUCAGUAAUGCUCCCUGCAGCUUAGAGUUCAGGACUUCCGUUGUGAUACAAAUACAGCUGCUUGGAGAAUGAAAAUAUUCAUAUAUUUUUGGAGCUAAUUCUAAGUACUUUCAAGUCUGUGCCAAAAUUAAAACUGUUCAGAAAUACUCUGAUUCUCUUCUCCUUUGGGCCCAUGAUAAGUUUGCACUUCUCCUGCCCCUUUUCAAGUGAGACUAUGGCCAUGUGACUUGGUUUGGCCGAUGAUACAUGAGUAGAAGUGACAUAUGUCACACAAGUGAAGUCUUAAGAGCCAGUGUAUGAUCCACCAUGCUCCCUCUCCUCUGCCCUGGUGAUGGUAGAAGCAUAUAUGGAGGUGCAGCUUCCCCAGCAAGGGGUCUUGCAUGACUGUGAGAGACAGUAUCUCCUUGCUAACACACAUUGGACAUGAACAUGAGUGAGAAAUACAUAUUUUUUUGUAGUAAGCUGCUGAAAUUUGGGGAUUGUUUGUUCCUGCAGCAUUGCUUUACUUAUCCUGACUUUUACAAACACUUUCAGCUAGUCAUUCCAUCGGAUCCUCUCAACAACCACGUAAAAUAGGAAAAAUGCUAUUAUCUACAUCAUACAAAUAAGAUGACGAAUGCCCAGAGAGGUUAAAUAAUUAAGAAACACUGAAACCUUUUACAUUAACUGACCAACACCUAUUGCCAAAAUGGAAAUGUAUAUGCUCUGAUCAUAUAAUUUUUACAAGAAGUGGUGCAUUUAAGCAAGUCAUAGAUCUCACUGAAAAAUUAAAUAUUGUCUGAAAAUUGACCCAGAAGCACCAAACACAAUCAUCCAAGAAUAAAG
rnacentral:lncRNA from 1 species